rnacentral:lncRNA from 1 species
GCGGUAGCACAUACGGGAGACCUAGUCACGGCAUCCUUGACUUGCGUCACCAGCCGUGCGAGAACUGCUUUAUAAAUGGAGACGCGUCUGCAACUACGCCGCAACCACGGCUUCAUUUUUGAGCGGCAGACUUCGCUGUGACAGUCAUGCGCGUCCUCAUUGCUCUUCUCAUCCUCACUGCUCUUCUGGCAGUUGCUUCAUCAGCCAUAUCUCUUUUGCCGAUGCUGCUACUUGGUCCGCCCUUUCAUGACCUGGGAUCCAAACGUGACUCGGGACCCAACAGAAGUGUUUGGCGUGGAAGUCAGUGAGGCUGCGGGGAGAAGGCUGCGAGUCGAUGCAGAGGACGCUUCAUGAAGUGGACCUACAACAAUGAGACGAACAAGUGUAAAAGAAUUAUCUGGGGCGGUUGUGGAAAUAAUGAAUGCAACGUCUUCCGAACGGAAGUGAAUGCCAGAAUAACUGCAAACGGCCUCGCGAUAAAGCAGAAUGAGCACCUUGAAGCCUUCUCGCUCCGGUAUAAGUGUAGCAAUAAAAUGUUGCGGUAAUGUAAAAAAAUU